GGUAGUAACAGAGAGUUCGAUCAUGGUCGAUUGAACGCUGGCGUGAUGCUUUACACAUGCAAGUCGAACGGCAGCACGACUUCAGUUCGGUGGCGAGUGGCGAACGGGUGAGUAAUGUAUCGGAACGUGCCUAGUAGCGGGGAUAACUACGCGAAAGCGUAGCUAAUACCGCAUACGCCCUUCGGGGAAAGCGGGGACCUUCGCCUCGCACUAAUAGAUGGGCCGAUAUCGGAUUGAAGGUUGGUGGGGUAACGGCCACCAAGGCGACGAUCCGUAGCUGGUUUGAGAGGACGACCAGCCACACUGGACUGGAGAUACGGGCCCAGACUCCUACGGGAGGCAGCAGUGGGGAAUUUUGACAAUGGGGGAAAGUUCCUGAUCCAGCCAGCCCCGGGCGUGCAGCGAUGAAGGCCUUCGCGUUGUAGCACUUUUUGGCAGGAAGAAACGGGCACGGGAUAAUACCCCGUGCAACUGACGUACCUGCAGAAUGAGCACCGGCUAACUACGUGCCAGCAGCCGUAAUACGUAGGGUGCAAGCGUUAAUCGAAUUUCACGGGCGUAAAGCAGGCGGUUCGAAAGAAAGAUGUGAACCUAAUAACUUUUGAAACUGCAUUUUGUCACCAGCUAGAGGUCAGAGGGAGGUGGAAUUCGCGUGUAGCAGUGAAAUGCGUAGAUAUGCGGAGGAACACCGAUGGCGAAGGCAGCCUCCUGGGAUAACACUGACGUCAUGCACGAAAGCGUGGAGCAAACAGAUUAGAUACCCUGGUAGUCCACGCCCUAAACGAUGUCAACUAGCUGUUGGGCCUUCGGGCCUUGGCAGCGCAGUUAACGCGUGAAGUUGACCGCCUGGGAGUACGGUCGCAAGAUUAAAACCUGCAACGACGGGGACUCCGCACAAGCGGUGGAUGAUGUGGAUUAAUUCGAUGCACCAAACGCUUACCUACCCUUGACAUGUCUGGAAUCCCGAAGAGAUUUGGGAGUGUCAUGAGAACCGGAACACGGGUGCUGCAUGGCUGUCGUCAGCUCGUGUCGUGAGAUGCCAAAGGUUAAGUCCUGCAACGAGCGCAAUCCCUGUCAUUAGUUGCCGAAAGGCACCUGACGAGACUUCCGCCGGUGACAAACCGAGGAAGGUGAUGAUCGUCAAGUCCUCAUGGCCCUUAUGGGGUAGGCUUCACACGUCAUACAAUGGUCGGGACAGAGGGCCUCAACCCGCGAGGGGUCGGUCCCAGAAACCCGAUCGUAGUCCGGAUCGUAGCCCGCAACUCGACUGCGUGAAGUCGGAAUCGCUGUAAUCGCGGCAUCGUUACCGUGAAUACGUUCCCGGGUCUUGUACACACCGCCCGUCACACCAUGGGAGUGGGGUUUUACCAGCGUGAGUUAGCCUAACCGUAAGGAGGGCGAUUACCACGGUAGAUUCAUGACUGGGGUAAGUCGUAAUGGGGUAAG
rnacentral:rRNA from 1 species